GUCUGUGUUGUCAUGGAGACUUCUGGUCUCCUAGCUGCCAAUGUCCUCUUAAAAGGCAGUGUGAAGAUUCUACCGGCUGCCCUGCUCUGCAUGGUUGAAGGACAGCCCCUAAAGUGCGGGCCACUGGGGACCCUGCAUUAAUACCACUGAAUGACACGUGGGAGGUUUCCAGCUCUCUUUCGAGGAUUCUGACUAAUCGUGGGGUGCUGCCCGUGGAACGAAAGAAUUCCAGGC